AUAAACGAAGGGGCUCAAAAUCAACGGCUGAAAAUAAAAAUCUUACAAAACGUGAUAAUAUGACGUUAAAAUUUUAGAUCAAAGAUAUUGAUCUUGUUUUAUAUAGUAUAAAGAAUUUUCUAUCAAAAUUUCACGUGAUUUGGAUAUUUCUACACCGUUAAACUUACAAACGACUCACGGCGACAAUUAAAAUUAUUAAUUUUGAGCCCCUUCGAUACUUCGAAUACUCUAGAUCAAGUUUAACGGAGUCGAUCGACGAUUCAAAAGUCGCAACAUCGAAAACGAGCUGGAAGCACGGAAGGCUCCGUGCUUCCGAUAGGAUAGUAGCCUUACUCUAUAUAUAUAUAGAGAGAGAGAGAGAGAGAGAGAGAGAGAGAGAGAGAGAGAGAGUCUAUAUACUAUCCUAUUAAUAAGAUUGAGAAUAUUGUCCUAUCAAGUCAUUUUGAAUAAUAAAAACUUUAAAUUAAUAAUCGGCACCGUUGAAAUUGAUCUACACAAUUAGAAAUGUUUAGAAACUAAAUUUUGUAAUAUUUAAAAAUUAUUAUUAGGUUCAUCGAAAAGUUUAAAAAAUGAAUGGUCAUAAAUGAAUAACCUUCUUAAAAUAGAGGUUAGACUUUCUCAAUACAUAAUCAGAAUUAUUAAACAUUAUCUAAAUAGUAUAAAGAAUUUUUCUAUCAAAACUUCAAGCAAUUUGGAUUGCUCUACACCGUUAAACAAGCAAACGGCUCAUAUAGACCGUCAAAAAUUGUCGAUUUCACGACACUUUGAUCACCAUGUAAAUAAUUUUUAAAAUUUAUGAAAUUUAGUUUCUAAAUAUUUCAAAUAGUCUAGAUCAACUUCAACAGCUCCGAUCAUCGAUUCGGAAUCUUUAUCAUCAAGAACAACUUGAUAGGACAAAUGCUACUAUCCUCUUAAGUAGCCCUAGCCUAUAUAUAUAUAUAUAUAUAUAUAUAUAUAUUACUUAUUCAUGAAAUAAAUAGGUACUCGUUUAAUUAUAGAUAUUUUGGAUGAUAAGAAAGUAACUGCAUAUUUUUUUUAAUGGUAACCUUAAAUACCAUUUUUGUAGUUUCGCACUUUCUUACUUUAUUAUUCUGUGGUUUAAAGGAUAUUUUUUAUUUUUAUCUUUUCAUCAGCUUUUUCUUUAAUAUUUCGUUAAAUUAUAUACAGAAAACUUUAAAUACCCCACAUAGGUUUAUUGAAUAUUCACUUUAAUACCCUGUAGUUUUAACUUUGUCACUGAUUUAACGAAAAAAAAUUAAAGAAAUCGAUAAUAAAAAGAUAAAAAUAAAAUCACAGGGCACUAAAUUGAUACACUUUAAAUCACCGAAUACUAAGGUAAGAAAGUGUGAAACCAUAAGGAUGGUAUUUGAAGUUUUUCUUUUUUCUAAUUCUUUUAAAUAUUUUUUGAGAAAGUGAAUACAC
rnacentral:lncRNA from 1 species